UAGCGGCGGAGAGCAGCCGAGCAGCGGAGCGCAACACGGACUCUGUCCCGAACCGACCGCUGACAGCCCAGUUGGACUUCUAACAAGUCAGCUUUUUACCCGGGUGGGACCGGGACGAUUCUGCUUGGGACCAGAGAUAGGGACCGGGGAUAGACAGGAGAGAGAUGGCGGAUGACAUGCAGCAAAGGGCCGCAGGUCGGACUUGAACCCGGACCGCUGCAAAGGACUCAGCCUUCAUGGGGCGCACGCUCUCACUGGUUGAGCUACAGGUCGCCUCUUAAAGCACCAAUUUAAGGAACCCCACGAUGUCCUACUGUUAUUCGCCGGCUCUUCGACCGAAUGUCUACCGGUGCAUUGCAGAGAGCCCCAGCUGAUACGAGACUUGAUGAAGAGACACGGCUUGACAUGCUCUACGGUCUGGAAUGAUACGACAUCCUUGUCGGCGAAUCAUCCUUGCGUGGCCUCGUGUGAGCAGAAUAUGCCAAUAGUUUACGUCGUUGGCCAAGACUACGAUGAUAAAGAAGCCGACACGACGCAACUCUGCAGCAACAUGAAACACAUUAAAGUGCAUUUCCGCCUUGAGACACAAACGCUACGACUUGAACACCCGUGGAGCCGCACUCUACUACUCUGAUGAUACGUCCACACUGGGCGAGGUUAUCGCGGAAGAUCGUCGAUUCAAGUCGUCUGCAAAGUGCAUCGAUUCCGAAGGACGAGUAGUCGAUGCUAAAUCCAUGUCAGAGUUAAACCCAGAUCAGGAGUUGACCAUCACAGACGAUUCGGCUGAUGACCAGGACGAGCUUGUACCAUUUACCUGUACCUACUGCAGACUAAACCUCGGCGACGCCUAUCUCGGCUGUUGGGAGUGUUUUUCGAGAACCAACGUGGAAACGGUUCUGUUAUCCGCUGUCUGAGUUGCUGGCCAAUAUACACGUAUGUCCGUACCAAUCAACUUUAGUGUCAUACGCGGCCGAUGUUACAAGAAGGAGCCCUGGGUCUUAGAUUGUAACCAUGUGAUGUGCAGAUGCACCGUGCUACAUGCCAGAUGUCCUGUGUGUGAGAAGGAAGUCACAAAGCUUCAGAGGGUGUUCCCUUGAGAUGCACCAUGUACUGUGCUGUGUGUAAGAUCGCCAGGCUUGAAAGAGUCAAUCCUGAGAGUAAACAUCUGACACGCACAAUGUAACACAAUGUCCUGUGUGUGUGUGUGUGUGUGUGUGUGUGUGUGUGACUUAAUGGGUCUGUAACCAUUCACUAUCAGGAGGAUUUGUGCGCAAAUGCUAUAGAAAAGACAGUUAGUCUUGUUUCUGUGUCAUGAAUUUAACCCUUGGUGUCCUUCUGUUGACCAUGCUACCUUUUGUUUUUCUGGGCCUAAAUUUAAAUUUAAAUUGUUUUCUAUCCCCAAAGUUUUCCUGUUGCU